GGCCUCCUACCAUAUCCGGAUUCAUACUCCGAACUGGGCUCCUCCACUUCGGCCUUCCGCCCGUACCCGGACCCGUAUUCCGAGCUGGGCUCAUCGGUUUCAGCCCUACGGCCGUGCCCGGAUCCGUACUCCGAGCUGGGUUUCUCGUACUCACUCUUCCGACCAUACCCGGAUCCGUACUCCGAACUGGGUUCCUGACCGUACCCAGAUCCAUAUUCACUAGGUCUCUCAUACUCAGGCUUCCGACCAUACCCGGAUCCGUACUCCGAAGGCGGUUCUUCCGGCUCCGUCCUCCGGCCAUACCCAGAUCCAUAUUCACUAGGUCUCUCAUACUCAGGCUUCCGACCAUACCCGGAUCCGUACUCCGAAGGCGGUUCUUCCGGCUCCGUCCUCCGGCCAUACCCAGAUCCAUAUUCACUAGGUCUCUCAUACUCAGGCUUCCGACCAUACUCGGAUCCGUACUCCGAGGGCGGUUCUUCCGGCUCCGUCCUCCGGCCAUACCCAGAUCCAUAUUCACUAGGUCUCUCAUACUCAGGCUUCCGACCAGAUCCGUACUCCGAGGGCGGUUCUUCUGGCUCCGUCCUCCGGCCAUACCCAGAUCCAUAAUCCGGCCCCGACCCACUAAACUCGUCUUCUCCGCCGAUCCCACCACCAUGGCCAGGGCGGUUCAUCCCGGGCUGGAAACCGUAAUUGGCCUGAGGCCGAUCGAAGGCUUCCUCGCCGCCGCCGCCGCCGUAGGAGAGGCCGGGGCGGGGCUUGGGGCGGGCGUAGCUCUU
rnacentral:lncRNA from 1 species